AACUCUAUCACCUCAUCUUCUUCCUUCAGUUCGAGUACACUUCAUUCUUAAUAUUUUGCCCUCUUCCUCUUCCUUUGGUUUAAUCCUUCUUCCCAGUAAUGUCAGGAUCUAACUUGUGGUAUACUCAAUGCUCUUCUACUCUUUUCGAUACACAGGUUUAUAAACUGUAGGCAAACUAUGGUGUUCCCUCCUACUUAGUUCUUCCUUCCCCAAAAGAUCGUCCUCAUCUUCCUCCCUCAAAAAGCAUCACAGUUUUCUCGGAACAACUUUUCUCUAAUUUUUGAUUUUCCCUUCACCCUUAUUUUAUUGACAUUAACUGAUAUUUCAAUCUCCCUCUUCAUCAACUCCUCCCUUAAUCAUUUGCUAUCUUGAGUGGUUUUGUCAUUGUUUCUCACCUACUAGACGUUCCCUUAUCACCUCGUCUGUUCCAUAAUUUCUUCUUUCCUCUUCAAAUAGAGGAUAGUCUUUUUAAAUUCCAAGCACGCCCCAAAGCUAUCUUGUUUAACAGAAUUCCACCACAAGGAAAAUGGAGGGACAAGUACUUUUUUCUACGCCUCCCAUUUCCUUCCCCAUAUCCUAUAACAUGGCAACAAAGCCUUCCCCCUCUAGGCAACAUUUCUGUAGAUACUACCCUUCACACUUUUGUAGGGAAAUUCAAAGGUGCAAAAUUUGAUCUGUCUGCAUUGAUCACAGAGGGCUUACUAUAUGCUUUCGGACUUAGCCCCACAGACACAUGACCAAGCGUAUCCUUUGUCGAGGCCAUCCUUCCAGCCUUCAUGUAUAGAAAUAAUCAAUUGACAAGAACAGUUUUAACUAAACUGGGAGAAGACUUAUUGGAGGAGCGUCGCUUAAAUCAAGCUUCCUCCUUGCUUGGUUUACUCCCUUUAAGUGAACCCACUAAGGAGCCUUCCUCUAGUUCAUCUGAGCCAGACAACCCCUUUAUCAUCUGGAGUAAAAAGCCUCGCACAGGAUAUUUGGGUCCACCUCUGUCCAUUGUAUCUACUGUUGAGUAAGUUCCCAUCACUUUAUCAGAGGUCUCUUAUAUGCGAGGUAAAGAACCAGAGCCUCCAACACAUACUCCUAUUUCUGCACUUAAUAUGAUGAGGCUAGGCCUUUGUAUUCCUAUGUCUCAUGCUAUUCCCCCAAUUACUUUUGAUGCAGAGCCGACACCAGAUCUCCCCACAACCUCACCAUCUAUUCCACAAGCUUUCAUUUCUCCUCUAACAAAACCUCGAGCCAAAAUAAAACCAUGUAAGAGGUCAGCUGGUCCUACAUCUAAAGAGUCUUUGCUUGAGUAAAGUCUUGCAUUAAUUGAAUCUACCUUACCUGUUCAACCUCCUUUGAUCCCUUCUUUUCUUCCCGGGUCAUCUCAUAUUCUUCUUCCAGAACCUACUGAAUCUACUAGCUCCACUUGCCUUUUCAAGCAAUCCUAUAGGUUACCCUCUCAACAAGGACUAGAUCCUUCUUCUCCUUUGGCCUAUGGGAUACUCAAACUAAAAGGCUCUUUAUCAGAAUCAUGGCUCCAAGCACAAAAACAGAUGCAAGCCAACACAAUUGCUGAGCGUUUAGACGAGCAUACCCGUAACACUACCGCUUUCUACGCCUAGCUAUGGACCUAGAGAGAGCUAACAAAGUCAUGAAAGAUAAAGUGGAGGAGUUAUCAACCACUUCCACUGUUUCUAAUCAUGAAAUUGUUCAACUACGAGGGAAAGUGGAUUCACAAGCUAAGCUCGUUACAACCUUGGAGACUACUUUACAAGGUUGCCGCCAAUCUCUUCAGUCUCAAGUGACUCAGAGGGAGAAUCUAGAGCUCACAUUACAAUAGACUGAGUCUACUCUUCGAGUGGAGAUGGCUUUGAAAGACGAGGAUCUCUUAGAUUUGGGUCUCAAGACUAAACUUAUAGAAGAGCUACAAUCCUCUCAAGGUUCUAGGCCCCCCGAAUUGACUCAGGAAUUAAGUAGCAAAAAUUUCCUGUUACUACAACAACAAGAGAAAAUUUGAGCCCAAGAUUCUCAAAUGGCCUCACUUUUAAAUGAGUUGGAACAUUCCAAAGCAGAACAGGCUAGUCUUAAGGGCAAAAGGGACAACCUGCAAUCUGAAUUUCAGACAUACAGGGCAAGUUAAGAAGAGCACUAGCAAAGCAAACAUAGAUCUUAUUUAGACUCUCUUGAAUUUGGUGAAGAAUACGCUAGACGCAUUAUAGGAACUCUUACUCACUUAGUGAAAGGGGUUAUUCAGCAACUGAGAGAGGGAGGCUACCUAUUUAAAGAACCUCCUCCACUAUUCAUAAAUCAUAGAUGACUUAACAAGGAUCUUCCAAAAGAUUUUUUAAGUAAAUUUGAAUGAACAUGUAA